UUCCGGUUGAUCCUGCCGGAGGUCACUGCUAUCGGUGUUCGACUAAGCCAUGCGAGUCAAAUGUUCUUCGUGAACAUGGCGUACUGCUCAGUAACACGUGGAUAACCUGCCCUUAGGUCUGGCAUAACCCCGGGAAACUGGGGAUAAUUCCGGAUAGACCAUGGAUGCUGGAAUGCACCGUGGUCCAAAGCUUUUGUGCCUAAGGAUGGGUCUGCGGUCUAUCAGGUCGUAGUGGGUGUAAAGUACCUACUAGCCUACGACGGAUACGGGUUGUGAGAGCAAGAGCCCGGAGAUGGAUUCUGAGACAUGAAUCCAGGCCCUACGGGGCGCAGCAGGCGCGAAAACUUUACACUGCGGGAAACCGCGAUAAGGGAACACCGAGUGCCAGCAUCCUAUGUUGGCUGUCCACAUGUGUAAAUAACAUGUGUUAGCAAGGGCCGGGCAAGACCGGUGCCAGCCGCCGCGGUAACACCGGCGGCCCGAGUGGUGGCCACUAUUAUUGGGUCUAAAGGGUCCGUAGCCGGUUUGGUCAGUCUUCCGGGAAAUCUGACGGCUUAACCGUUAGGCUUCCGGGGGAUACUGCCAGACUUGGGACCGGGAGAGGUAAGAGGUACUACGGGGGUAGGAGUGAAAUCUUGUAAUCCCUGUGGGACCACCAGUGGCGAAGGCGUCUUACCAGAACGGGUCCGACGGUGAGGGACGAAAGCUGGGGGCACGAACCGGAUUAGAUACCCGGGUAGUCCCAGCCGUAAACUAUGCUCGCUAGGUGUCAGGGACGGUGCGACCGUUUCUGGUGCCGCAGGGAAGCCGUGAAGCGAGCCACCUGGGAAGUACGGUCGCAAGGCUGAAACUUAAAGGAAUUGGCGGG
rnacentral:rRNA from 1 species